CCACCCACAUUCAAAUCUCCCCCUCCGCUCGCCAUCAUCUCCCCCAUUCUCCUCUCUCUCUCUCUGACUCUCUCCUCGUGAUUAUCCAUCCCCCAAAAUCCCAGCUCGCGAAUCCCCCCCUCCCCCCGAAAAAACCAGCCUCCGAUUCGUGAGGCCCCCGAAUCGCCGCCGGAUUCUCCGCGAUGGCGGGCGCGGGCGCGGGCGCGGGCUCGGCGGCGGUGGAGAGGGCGCACGAGCUCUACCGGGGUGGCCGCCACCGGGAGGCGCUGGAGCUCUACUCCGCGGCGCUGGCGGCGGCGCGGGGCCCCGCGCAGCGCAUCGCGCUCCACAGCAACCGCGCCGCCUGCUACCUCAAGCUCCACGACUUCCGCAAGGCCGCAGAAGAGUGUACAUCUGUCCUCGAGUUGGAUAGGGAGCAUGCCGGAGCUCUGAUGUUACGUGCCCAGACUCUCGUUACUCUGAAAGAUUAUCAGUCAGCUCUAUUCGAUGUCAACAGGCUCAUUGAGAUAAAUCCAUCAUCUGAAGUAUAUCGGAACCUCCAGGCACGAUUGAAGACACAGCUAUCACUUGCCCCAAUUCCUGAGUGUGAAGAGGAGUCCCUGUAUCUCGAAGAAGAAAAGGAUGAACUUCCUCCAAAAGGAGAUCAGAAGAUUGAGACUUCUAUCACUAAGUCUGACCAACCUGAAACUAAACUGGUUCUUGAAAACAAACCUUCAAAUGGACAUAUUCUCGAAAGAAAACCUGGAACUGAACCUCAGAAGGUUGAUGUUCCUCCUACUCUGCCUUCAAAACCCCAGGGCUGGGAGGCCAUUCCAAAACCAAAAGGCCAUUCAGGACUUGAUUACUCAAAAUGGGACAGUGUUGAAGAUGAUUCGAGUGAAGAUGAGGAUGAUGACGAAGAAGACGAGUUGCCGCAAUAUAAGUUUAAAGUCAGAACUGUUGGCGUGCGGUCUGUAAAGUAAACAAGAUUAGCAAUAAAACCCAAAUUAUGGUAUGUUUAUAGUCUGACAGGACCUCUACUGACCAGGGUGCCACCUAUUCAUCUUCAAUAAUUUUUGGAUGAACUAUGUAGGUUUCAUGAUUUGUCAGAUGCUGUCUGUCAAUAAUUCUCGAGUCCAAGCAGAGAAGAUAGUUUGCUUUUUGAAGCGAUGGAGAUGGACAGGAUGGCAAAGUCAACGAUGUACAAAGAUCCAAGCUAACACUCCAGUAGUCCACUGCAGUUUAGGAUCAUAGUCUCGUCUCGGCGAACCUGUGUAUCUAGCGUCCUUCGGAAUAUAUGAACCCGUUUUUGUGCCGAGUUAUACGAGCCAUGCGAAAUGUUUCUUCGUUCUUCAUAUCACAUGUUUCUCAUCAAUAACCAAAAGCAUGGAGUCAUGCGAAAUUUUUUUAA